rnacentral:rRNA from 1 species
GUCGAGCGGAUGAAAGGAGCUUGCUCCUGGAUUCAGCGGCGGACGGGUGAGUAAUGCCUAGGAAUCUGCCUGGUAGUGGGGGACAACGUUUCGAAAGGAACGCUAAUACCGCAUACGUCCUACGGGAGAAAGCAGGGGACCUUCGGGCCUUGCGCUAUCAGAUGAGCCUAGGUCGGAUUAGCUAGUUGGUGAGGUAAUGGCUCACCAAGGCGACGAUCCGUAACUGGUCUGAGAGGAUGAUCAGUCACACUGGAACUGAGACACGGUCCAGACUCCUACGGGAGGCAGCAGUGGGGAAUAUUGGACAAUGGGCGAAAGCCUGAUCCAGCCAUGCCGCGUGUGUGAAGAAGGUCUUCGGAUUGUAAAGCACUUUAAGUUGGGAGGAAGGGUUGUAGAUUAAUACUCUGCAAUUUUGACGUUACCGACAGAAUAAGCACCGGCUAACUCUGUGCCAGCAGCCGCGGUAAUACAGAGGGUGCAAGCGUUAAUCGGAAUUACUGGGCGUAAAGCGCGCGUAGGUGGUUCGUUAAGUUGGAUGUGAAAUCCCCGGGCUCAACCUGGGAACUGCAUUCAAAACUGUCGAGCUAGAGUAUGGUAGAGGGUGGUGGAAUUUCCUGUGUAGCGGUGAAAUGCGUAGAUAUAGGAAGGAACACCAGUGGCGAAGGCGACCACCUGGACUGAUACUGACACUGAGGUGCGAAAGCGUGGGGAGCAAACAGGAUUAGAU